rnacentral:rRNA from 1 species
CCUACGGGAGGCAGCAGUGGGGAAUUUUGGACAAUGGGCGAAAGCCUGAUCCAGCAAUGCCGCGUGAGUGAAGAAGGCCUUCGGGUUGUAAAGCUCUUUUGUCAGGGAAGAAACGGUGAGGGCUAAUAUCCCUUGCUAAUGACGGUACCUGAAGAAUAAGCACCGGCUAACUACGUGCCAGCAGCCGCGGUAAUACGUAGGGUGCAAGCGUUAAUCGGAAUUACUGGGCGUAAAGCGUGCGCAGGCGGUUUUGUAAGUCUGUCGUGAAAUCCCCGGGCUCAACCUGGGAAUUGCGAUGGAGACUGCAAGGCUAGAAUCUGGCAGAGGGGGGUAGAAUUCCACGUGUAGCAGUGAAAUGCGUAGAGAUGUGGAGGAACACCGAUGGCGAAGGCAGCCCCCUGGGUCAAGAUUGACGCUCAUGCACGAAAGCGUGGGGAGCAAACAGGAUUAGAUACCCUGGUAGUCCACGCCCUAAACGAUGUCUACUAGUUGUCGGGUUUUAAUUAACUUGGUAACGCAGCUAACGCGUGAAGUAGACCGCCUGGGGAGUACGGUCGCAAGAAUUAAAACCUCAAAGGAAUUGACGGCUGNGAGNGCGAGGACGACGACGAGGAGGAGG